UCCCAUGUAGUCUAGUGGUUUAGGAUUUCACGCUCUCACCGUGACGACCCGGGUUCGAACCCCGGCAUGGGAA
rfam:Clunio marinus genome assembly, contig: CLTMA_superscaffold_47C